rnacentral:rRNA from 1 species
AGAGUUUGAUCAUGGCUCAGGAUGUACGCUGGCGGCGUGCCUAAUACAUGCAAGUCGAGCGAACCACUUCGGUGGUGAGCGGCGAACGGGUGAGUAACACGUAGGUGAUCUGCCCAUCAGACGGGGACAACGAUUGGAAACGAUCGCUAAUACCGGAUAGGACGAAAGUUUAAAGGUGCUUCUGGCACCGCUGAUGGAUGAGCCUGCGGCGCAUUAGCUAGUUGGUAGGGUAAAGGCCUACCAAGGCGACGAUGCGUAGCCGACCUGAGAGGGUGAACGGCCACACUGGGACUGAGACACGGCCCAGACUCCUACGGGAGGCAGCAGUAGGGAAUCUUCGGCAAUGGGCGAAAGCCUGACCGAGCAACGCCGCGUGAAUGAUGAAGGCCUUCGGGUUGUAAAAUUCUGUUAUAAGGGAAGAACGACUUUAGUAGGAAAUGGCUAGAGUGUGACGGUACCUUAUGAGAAAGCCACGGCUAACUACGUGCCAGCAGCCGCGGUAAUACGUAGGUGGCGAGCGUUAUCCGGAAUUAUUGGGCGUAAAGAGCGCGCAGGUGGUUGAUUAAGUCUGAUGUGAAAGCCCACGGCUUAACCGUGGAGGGUCAUUGGAAACUGGUCGACUUGAGUGCAGAAGAGGGAAGUGGAAUUCCAUGUGUAGCGGUGAAAUGCGUAGAGAUAUGGAGGAACACCAGUGGCGAAGGCGGCUUCCUGGUCUGUAACUGACACUGAGGCGCGAAAGCGUGGGGAGCAAACAGGAUUAGAUACCCUGGUAGUCCACGCCGUAAACGAUGAGUGUCUAAGUGUUGGGGGUCGAACCUCAGUGCUGAAGUUCACGCAUUAAGCACUCCGCCUGGGGAGU